rnacentral:pre_miRNA from 1 species
CCACCAUUGUCUCUAUCGGUACCCUCACAAAAGCACUGACUUUGAUGCUGUAUUUGGUAAGUGCUAUUUGUUGGGGUAGUUUCAAGUGA